ACUAGUAAACUUGUACGUGCAACGCACGUCUCAAUCAAUACUCUUUUCAAUGAUACAGCUACUACGACGCAACAAACGAUGGUAAUUACUAUGCAAACAAUGGUUGGCAUACGAUAAUGUAUUGGACAACCGUGCCCAACCAUGUUAUGAUUAUUUGAGUAAUUCAAACUUGAUUUGUGAGAUAUCAUCUAUUCCAAGCCAAUAAUGCGUAAAAUUACAUUGGAAAAGGAAUAUAAAAAAACCAAGCAAUAUAAUUUUCUACUGCUCUCCUGAAAAAAAGUUCAAUUGUACACACUAUCUUGUCUCACUGAAAUAUCUUCACCGAGAUUAUGUUCUCUCAUUCCUCUUCAUCCAGAUUCAGCACUGAAAAGGCAUUUAAAUUGCUCAUUUGUCGACACUCAACAUUGGAGAUCAAUAAUACUUUGGCAGCAAAUCACUAAAAAGGAAAGACAUGUAAGAAAAUGACAACAACAAAAAAACCAAGAUUACAUUCAUUAUAUGGCAUGGUAUCAUACUUUCCAAGGUACUUUCAUAAGCUAAUGAGCUGAAACUAUAGAUACUGAUUGAAAUAAGAUGUGCCUAGUUGGCAACCCUAACUUUGGCCAACAUCAAUUUUCAUCAUGUAUAAAGUUCCAAGCCUAAAGAAAACAUAAAUGUAUAUGGACAUAGCAGAAUAAUGGGUGCAUGAUAGUUGGUUAAAUAAGUGAACCAUUUCUGCCCAACAAAGAUUUGAAUUCAAUUUAUUGUCAUGUGAGUUGGUGCACAGUUUAUCAAGGUGUAACCAUGCAAAGAAAGAUCUUGCCAGAUGAAACAUGAGUGAAAACGAUGAUUCAGGCCCACACUCCUUACUAACAAACGGGAAAGCCUAUCAUUUAUAUAAACCAAUAGGCAAGUCUCCCAUCUUCAACCAAGCAAAUAGAUAGCAAGUUAGUUGAAUGUAAAAAAGGGAUAGGGGAAGACAUAUAUGAAAACUAAGUUCAUGUAAAUAGAGUGAUAGAGAAUCUGCAGGUUUUGAGCACUGCCACCAAAGCCAGGACACAGCUGGCAUCCAACUUGAACAAAUUGUAAUGUUCGCGUACGGAAAAAGCUAAUCUUCAUUGACAAGAAACAGUAAUGUUCAAACAUUGAAACCUCCUGAAAAACACGAUACAAUAAUUGUAUGUCAUCAUCUGACUGAAGCCAUUAAUUAGUAGUGCCGGUACCAAAUUUGAUUUCAAACAAAAACAUGGAAAAGUAAAAAAGUAGAAUUUUUGUUGCAAUGCUCAUUAUAAUUAGUGUGUUGUUGUGGAAUAUUUCUGGUUACAGUAGAAAAUAUAACUUUAGGUUCUGCGAAUUUCUCGACUCUCCUAUAUGAGCUAUACAUCUUAAAUGUCCCCCACUAUGUCUGUACAGCAGAAGCAUCCUCGAGCAACUGUCAGGCUUCAUUUGUUGUUGCUAAUAAAAAUAGAGACAUAGCCCAAAUAUAAAGUCAAAUCACCCAUGUAAGAGACAUCCGUGAGAGACUAAAUUGUGUGAUAAAGAGCUUGUCAUCAAAGAUAAGCAUGUGAUGGAAGCAGCAAAAAAAUUAUAAAGUUGCUCCUUCACUUUUUAAAUUUCCUUAUUCAUAGUCCCUCCUUCCCAAAAUAUAAGGCACGCUUGACAUUGCAUGGUCUUUAAUGCACAACUCUGCACAGUAAUACAAAAAAAAUUAUAUGAUUAUAGCAUUUAUAAGUGGUAUCAUCGUAUUUGCAAAUUUUUUAAUUUGUGUAGACAUAAUAUAAGUGAAAAUCAAAUUCAAAGUUGUGAAUCGAAGACCAAAAAAAGUCAAUUGUGCCGUAUAUUUUGGUAAGGAGGGAGUAUAUAGCAUCGGGAGUUCCAUGCAAGAACUCAACAAAAUUGAAGGUAGCACUCACAUUAGUAUAACAAAGGAAGUCAUCCAGAAUUAUGACUUAUAAAUUAUAAUGAGUAAAAUAAAAGUAAGUCGCUAGGAAUAGAAACAAACCAGCAACCACCCGCAUUGUACCAUCCAUGAUCUUGUUGGGAAAGGGAAGUAAUUUCUAACUUGACAGACAUCCACCGAUUGCAGAAAUGGAAUGUGCGUCUAGGGGCACGCUGGAUGCGAGCUGCCAAAUAUUUGUAAUCUGAAUGGGAAGUAUCACAGAUUGCAUAAGAUUAGAGAAUUCAAUACAGGACUAAAAAUAGAGCUUGCAUAAAGUAAUGAAGGUAAUACCUUUCUUGUACUUACUGAAUUCUUUGUACGAACAUUUGCUGAUUUUUUUUAAAUUGGCAUUAAUCUGGAAAAAGGAAACUAUGAGAAGCACCAAACCAAGGUCAUUAAAUUUAGGCCCUACACCAUAGAAAUGUCCUCUUUCUCAUAUUAAGGGCUCAUCAACUUGCAACGGAAGGAUUCAAUUGGUGCCUGGUUGGGGUUCAGAAGCUACACAAACCAGUUUAGGCACUAACAUUUACCCAUAGAAAUGCCAACUCUCUCAUGUUAUCAGAGUGUACACAAUGGCCAUCUCAACUGGAAGGUUGUACACCUAGGGUAAAUAUUUCUUCUAUCUUACUAAUAAAAUGAAAAGGGACCACCAACGGUUAGCACACUGGCCACCUUGUAACAGGAGUACUAUGAGCAAAAUACAAAAGACAAGCUUAAAAAUACCCACGGGCGUUAGUGACAAGGGAGAUGCAAAGAUAUAGAGACAAAAACCAUGAUAUUUGGUCACCUCAC
rnacentral:lncRNA from 1 species